CCGGCUAAAAGUCGGAGGAAGUGGGGAUGACGUCAAAUCAUCAUGCCCCUUAUGACCUGGGCUACACACCGUGCUACAAUGGGCGGUACAAAGGGUCGCGAACCCGCAGGGGGAGCCAAUCCCAAAAAGCCGCUCUCAGUUCGGAUUGCAGGCUGCAACUCGCCUGCAUGAAGCCGGAAUCGCUAGUAAUCGCGGAUCAGCAUGCCGCGGUGAAUACGUUCCCGGGCCUU
rnacentral:rRNA from 1 species